rnacentral:rRNA from 1 species
ACGAACGCUGGCGGCGUGCUUAACACAUGCAAGUCGCACGGAAAGGCCCUGCUUUUGUGGGGUGCUCGAGUGGCGAACGGGUGAGUAACACGUGAGUAACCUGCCCUUGACUUUGGGAUAACUUCAUGAAACUGGGGCUAAUACCGGAUAGGAGCUCCUGCUGCAUGGUGGGGGUUGGAAAGUUUCGGCGGUUGGGGAUGGACUCGCGGCUUAUCAGCUUGUUGGUGGGGUAGUGGCUUACCAAGGCUUUGACGGGUAGCCGGCCUGAGAGGGUGACCGGCCACAUUGGGACUGAGAUACGGCCCAGACUCCUACGGGAGGCAGCAGUGGGGAAUAUUGCACAAUGGGCGGAAGCCUGAUGCAGCAACGCCGCGUGCGGGAUGACGGCCUUCGGGUUGUAAACCGCUUUCGCCUGUGACGAAGCGUGAGUGACGGUAAUGGGUAAAGAAGCACCGGCUAACUACGUG